rnacentral:rRNA from 1 species
AGUACAGACGAGUUUGAUCCUGGCUCAGGAUGAACGCUAGCGGCAGGCCUAAUACAUGCAAGUCGAACGGAAUAUGAUUUUCGGAUUAUAUUUAGUGGCGCACGGGUGAGUAACACGUACAUAACUUACCCUCAAGAGGGGGAUAGCCUCGGGAAACUGAGCGUAAUACCCCAUAGUAUUAUUGAACGGCAUCGUUUGAUAAUUAAAGCUACGGCGCUUGAGGAUAGAUGUGCGUCUGAUUAGCUAGUUGGUAAGGUAACGGCUUACCAAGGCGACGAUCAGUAGGGGGCGUGAGAGCGUGGCCCCCCACACGGGUACUGAGACACGGACCCGACUCCUACGGGAGGCAGCAGUAAGGAAUAUUGGUCAAUGCCCGGAAGGGUGAACCAGCCAUGCCGCGUGAAGGAUGACUGCCCUCUGGGUUGUAAACUUCUUUUGGAUGGGACGAAAAAACGGGAUUUAUCCUGGACUGACGGUACCAUCAGAAUAAGCACCGGCUAACUCCGUG